UACGGAGGGUGCAAGCGUUAUCCGGAUUCAUUGGGUUUAAAGGGUGCGCAGGUUGGAUAGUAAGUCAGUGGUGAAAUACUGCCGCUUAACGGUAGAACUGCCAUUGAUACUGCUGUUCUUGAGUAUGGUUGAGGUAGGUGGAAUGUGUUGUGUAGCGGUGAAAUGCAUAGAUAUGACACAGAACGCCGAUUGCGAAGGCAACUUACUAAGCCAUUACUGACGCUGAGGCACGAAAGCGUGGGGAUCAAACAGG
rnacentral:rRNA from 1 species